rnacentral:misc_RNA from 1 species
GAUGAAGAACGCAGCGAAAUGCGAUAAGUAAUGUGAAUUGCAGAAUUCAGUGAAUCAUCGAGUCUUUGAACGCACAUUGCGCCCCCUGGUAUUCCGGGGGGCAUGCCUGUCCGAGCGUCAUUGCUGCCGUCAAGCACGGCUUGUGUGUUGGGCCGUCGUCCCCCUCCUAGGGGACGGGCCCGAAAGGCAGCGGCGGCACCGCGUCCGGUCCUCGAGCGUAUGGGGCUUCGUCACCCGCUCCGUAGGCCCGGCCGGCGCUUGCCGACGACCAUCAAUCUCUUUCUCCAGGUUGACCUCGGAUCAGGUAGGGAUACCCGCUGAACUUAAGCAUAUCAAUAAGCGGAGGA